AUGAACGCUAGCUACAGGCUUAACACAUGCAAGUCGAGGGGCAUCAGGAAGAAAGCUUGCUUUCUUUGCUGGCGACCGGCGCACGGGUGAGUAACACGUAUCCAACCUGCCCUUUACUCGGGGAUAGCCUUUCGAAAGAAAGAUUAAUACCCGAUAGCAUAAUGAUUCCGCAUGGUUUCAUUAUUAAAGGAUUCCGGUAAAGGAUGGGGAUGCGUUCCAUUAGGUUGUUGGUGAGGUAACGGCCCACCAAGCCUUCGAUGGAUAGGGGUUCUGAGAGGAAGGUCCCCCACAUUGGAACUGAGACACGGUCCAAACUCCUACGGGAGGCAGCAGUGAGGAAUAUUGGUCAAUGGGCGGUAGCCUGAACCAGCCAAGUAGCGUGAAGGAUGAAGGCUCUAUGGGUCGUAAACUUCUUUUAUAUAAGAAUAAAGUGCAGUAUGUAUACUGUUUUGUAUGUAUUAUAUGAAUAAGGAUCGGCUAACUCCGUGCCAGCAGCCGCGGUAAUACGGAGGAUCCGAGCGUUAUCCGGAUUUAUUGGGUUUAAAGGGAGCGUAGGUGGACUGGUAAGUCAGUUGUGAAAGUUUGCGGCUCAACCGUAAAAUUGCAGUUGAUACUGUCAGUCUUGAGUACAGUAGAGGUGGGCGGAAUUCGUGGUGUAGCGGUGAAAUGCUUAGAUAUCACGAAGAACUCCGAUUGCGAAGGCAGCUCACUGGACUGCAACUGACACUGAUGCUCGAAAGUGUGGGUAUCAAACAGGAUUAGAUACCCUGGUAGUCCACACAGUAAACGAUGAAUACUCGCUGUUUGCGAUAUACAGUAAGCGGCCAAGCGAAAGCAUUAAGUAUUCCACCUGGGGAGUACGCCGGCAACGGUGAAACUCAAAGGAAUUGACGGGGGCCCGCACAAGCGGAGGAACAUGUGGUUUAAUUCGAUGAUACGCGAGGAACCUUACCCGGGCUUAAAUUGCAGUGGAAUGAUGUGGAAACAUGUCAGUGAGCAAUCACCGCUGUGAAGGUGCUGCAUGGUUGUCGUCAGCUCGUGCCGUGAGGUGUCGGCUUAAGUGCCAUAACGAGCGCAACCCUUAUCUUCAGUUACUAACAGGUUACGCUGAGGACUCUGGAGAGACUGCCGUCGUAAGAUGUGAGGAAGGUGGGGAUGACGUCAAAUCAGCACGGCCCUUACGUCCGGGGCUACACACGUGUUACAAUGGGGGGUACAGAAGGCAGCUAGCGGGUGACCGUAUGCUAAUCCCAAAAUCCUCUCUCAGUUCGGAUCGAAGUCUGCAACCCGACUUCGUGAAGCUGGAUUCGCUAGUAAUCGCGCAUCAGCCACGGCGCGGUGAAUACGUUCCCGGGCCUUGUACACACCGCCCGUCAAGCCAUGGGAGCCGGGGGUACCUGAAGUACGUAACCGCAAGGAUCGUCCUAGGGUAAAACUGGUGACUGGGGCU
rnacentral:rRNA from 1 species